GGAGUCUGGGCCGUAUCUCAGUCCCAAUGUGCCCGAUCACCCUCUUAGGCCGGGUAACUAUCGUCGCCUUGGUGGGCCGUUACCCCACCAACUAGCUAAUCCCACCUGGGCGCAUCUGAAUGCGACCGGUUGCCCGGCCUUUCCCCCUCAGGGCUUACGCGGUAUUAGCACCCGUUUCCAGGUGUUGUCCCCCUCAUUCAGGCAGCUCCCCAGGUAUUACUCACCCGUCCGCCACUCGUCAGCCAGGAAGCAAGCUUCCUGCCGUUACCGUUCGACUUGCAUGUAUUAAGCCUGCCGCCAGCGUUCAAU
rnacentral:rRNA from 1 species